UCCCUGGUGGCUCAGAUGGUGAAGCGUCUGCCUGCAAUGCGGGUGACCUGAGUUCGAUCCCUGGCUUGGGAA
rnacentral:tRNA from 1 species